rnacentral:rRNA from 1 species
UACGAAGGGGGCUAGCGUUGCUCGGAAUUACUGGGCGUAAAGGGCGCGUGAGCGGCGGAUCAAGUCAGGCGUGAAAUUCCUGGGCUUAACCUGGGGGCUGCGCUUGAGACUGAUGUGCUUGAGGAUGGCAGAGGCUCGUGGAAUUCCCCAGUGUAGAGGUGAAAUUCGUAGAUAUUGGGAAGAACACCGGUGGCGAAGGCGACCACCUGGCUCGGUACUGACGCUGAGGCGCGACAGCGUGGGGGAGCAAACAGG